rnacentral:piRNA from 1 species
UGAAAACUGUGUCUGUUUCCAGAGCA